UUUUUAUAAGUCUCUGUCUAUGGCUAUAUGGAGUUUUAAGAUAAAUGAAAUUAUCAUACACCCCAUUCUACAACUUUCCCUCUUGUUUUAAAAGUCAACAACAUAUCUUGAUAUCUUUUCAAAUCAGCAACCAUAUUCUACCUCCUUUUUUCCCCAUUGCAAAAUAUCCUGUGAUAUGAGCAUACAAUUUUUAAACUUAAUCACUUCCUUAUUGAUAGACAUUUAGAUUACUUCAAGAUUUGUUUCAUUCAAUUCUCCUGGGCAUAUAUCUCUGUGACAGAUUCAGAGCAUUUUAAAGCCUUCUAAGAGGAGAAGUGAGCAAAGUUUUCAAGAAGGGUACAUAGUUAGAGGAGAAAUAAGUAAACAUGGUUCGAACCAGAUGGAAUAUUGAAUGCAAUCAGAGUCAGAAACACACUGCAUAGUAAUACAUACAUAUGAAAUUCCUCACUGUGCUCAAAUUAUUUUUAGUUAAAGCUAAGAAAGUUAGUGAAAUUUUCCAUAUUUAAAAAUCCACUUAACACUGAUUAUAUAAUCCAAAUGAUCAUUCUGGAUAUUACCAGUUUUUAAGUUUGAAUGAAAGGCAUUUAUAUAGAAUAGAAGCAGCUUUUUUUUUUCCCCUUGGCAACAUUUUUCUUUUUUUAAAUCAGAGUCAACAGUGAGUCUUUCCAGGAACUGAGCUUUGUACUAAAUCAUUCUCUGCUUAAUUGUUUUUCAGAGAUUCCCAAACUACCAAUGAUUCUUUCCCUCAAGUUUUAUAAUUCCUGCAGAAUUUAGAACAGGAAAAUAAUUCCAGGUUGGAAAAGCUAAUUUAUGAUACUUUCAAAAUCUAUUCAGAAUCCACUUCAAAACUGUAAAAAAAAAAAAAAAAAGAAAAGAAAAGAAAAGAAAAGAAAAGAAAGAAAGAAAGAAAAGAAAAGAAAAAGAAAAAGAAAAAGAAAAAAGAAAAAAGAAAAAAGAAAAAAGAAAAAAAAAGAAAAGUCUACUCCAGAUCCCCAAGCCAGGAAAAAAAGAAGUAAAUGAGAAGACCAAGCAAGAAACCUUAGAAAACUAAUAACCCCAGAGAGAAACAAAACCUUAGAAAACAUCCAAUAGAGAUAAACAGACGAGGAAGAAUUCCCGCUAAGAACAGGUAUUUGGAGAUAGAGGUAAGAAGACAGAAUAUGUGAUCUUCAAGAAAAGGAGGGGAAAGAAUUUCAUGACACAGAUCAGAAACCACAUCAAAUGGAACCACUAUAUGCCAAGGGUGCAGAAAAGACAAUGGCUUUUUCUCAGUUUGCAAUUAGAAAGCCAUUAUUGAAUUUUAGAUGAGCAGUAUUUGUAGAGAUUUGGGAAAUCCACUGAGAUUGCAAAAGGUUACACACUGUAUGUGUUGAGGAAUUGGAGCCAGUAAUUAUUCCAGAAGCUUAGCAAUAAAAGAAAUGGAUAAAAAAAUGGUUGGUGGCA
rnacentral:lncRNA from 1 species